rnacentral:rRNA from 1 species
AUGAGCCAAGUUUAGAAGCUUCUUUAAAGAGCUUCAUAGCAAGAUUAAACUGAAGAGUUUGAUCAUGGCUCAGAUUGAACGCUGGCGGCAGGCUUAACACAUGCAAGUCGAGCGGUAACAGAAGAAGCUUGCUUCUUGCUGACGAGCGGCGGACGGGUGAGUAAUACUUAGGAAUCUGCCCAGUAGUGGGGGAUAGCACGGGGAAACUCGUAUUAAUACCGCAUACACCCUACGGGGAAAAGGGGGCGCUUGCGCUCUCGCUAUUGGAUGAGCCUAAGUCGGAUUAGCUAGUUGGUGGGGUAAAGGCCUACCAAGGCGACGAUCUGUAGCUGGUCUGAGAGGAUGAUCAGCCACACCGGGACUGAGACACGGCCCGGACUCCUACGGGAGGCAGCAGUGGGGAAUAUUGGACAAUGGGGGCAACCCUGAUCCAGCCAUGCCGCGUGUGUGAAGAAGGCCUUUUGGUUGUAAAGCACUUUAAGCAGUGAAGAAGACUCUAUGGUUAAUACCCAUAGACGAUGACAUUAGCUGCAGAAUAAGCACCGGCUAACUCUGUGCCAGCAGCCGCGGUAAUACAGAGGGUGCAAGCGUUAAUCGGAAUUACUGGGCGUAAAGCGAGCGUAGGUGGCUUAAUAAGUCAGAUGUGAAAUCCCCGGGCUUAACCUGGGAACUGCAUCUGAUACUGUUGGGCUAGAGUAGGUGAGAGGGAGGUAGAAUUUCAGGUGUAGCGGUGAAAUGCGUAGAGAUCUGAAGGAAUACCGAUGGCGAAGGCAGCCUCCUGGCAUCAUACUGACACUGAGGUUCGAAAGCGUGGGUAGCAAACAGGAUUAGAUACCCUGGUAGUCCACGCCGUAAACGAUGUCUACUAGUCGUUGGGGAACUUGAUUCCUUAGUGACGCAGCUAACGCAAUAAGUAGACCGCCUGGGGAGUACGGCCGCAAGGUUAAAACUCAAAUGAAUUGACGGGGGCCCGCACAAGCGGUGGAGCAUGUGGUUUAAUUCGAUGCAACGCGAAGAACCUUACCUGGUCUUGACAUAUCUAGAAUCCUGCAGAGAUGCGGGAGUGCCUUCGGGAAUUAGAAUACAGGUGCUGCAUGGCUGUCGUCAGCUCGUGUCGUGAGAUGUUGGGUUAAGUCCCGCAACGAGCGCAACCCUUUUCCUUAGUUACCAGCGGUUAGGCCGGGGACUCUAAGGAUACUGCCAGUGACAAACUGGAGGAAGGCGGGGACGACGUCAAGUCAUCAUGGCCCUUACGACCAGGGCUACACACGUGCUACAAUGGUAGGUACAGAGGGCUGCUACACAGCGAUGUGAUGCGAAUCUCAAAAAGCCUAUCGUAGUCCAGAUUGGAGUCUGCAACUCGACUCCAUGAAGUCGGAAUCGCUAGUAAUCGCGGAUCAGAAUGCCGCGGUGAAUACGUUCCCGGGCCUUGUACACACCGCCCGUCACACCAUGGGAGUUGAUUGCACCAGAAGUGGGUAGCCUAACUUUUAGAGGGCGCUCACCACGGUGUGGUCGAUGACUGGGGUGAAGUCGUAACAAGGUAGCCGUAGGGGAACCUGCGGCUGGAUCACCUCCUUAU